UGGCUCAGUGGGUAGAGCAUGGUGCUUGAAAUGCCAGAGUUGUUGGUUUGAUUCCCAC
rnacentral:tRNA from 1 species